rnacentral:rRNA from 1 species
UACGGAGGAUGCAAGCGUUAUCCGGAAUGAUUGGGCGUAAAGCGUCCGCAGGUGGCUGUGUAAGUCUGCUGUUAAAGAGUGAGGCUCAACCUCAUAAAGGCAGUGGAAACUACAUGGCUAGAGUGCGUUCGGGGCAGAGGGAAUUCCUGGUGUAGGGGUGAAAUGCGUAGAGAUCAGGAAGAACACCGGUGGCGAAAGCGCUCUGCUAGGCCGCAACUGACACUGAGGGACGAAAGCUAGGGGAGCGAAUGGG